UACGAAGGGGGCUAGCGUUGCUCGGAAUCACUGGGCGUAAAGGGCGCGUAGGCGGGAUGGCAAGUCGGUCGUGAAAUCCCUCGGCUCAACCGAGGAACGUCGAUCGAUACUGCUGUUCUUGAGGAUUGCAGAGGAGACUGGAAUUCCUGGUGUAGCGGUGAAAUGCGCAGAUAUCAGGAGGAACACCGGUGGCGAAGGCGGGGUCUCUGGGCCGAAACUGACGCUGAGGAGCGAAAGCGUGGGGAGCAAACAGG
rnacentral:rRNA from 1 species